UCGAACAGAGGGUAACUUCCGCGGCUCUCCGAAGCGCGGGGCUUCUACCCCCGUGGGUGGGUGAAGUACCGGCCACCGGCAUGCUCCUCCGCCUGCUCCUGCUGCUUGCGUUGUGCGGUGCGGGCUCCGCUGCCAUGGUGGUCAGCGUCAGCUUGCGGGGAAGCUGGAGGAUCCGCAGCGGGAACGGCUCGCUGGAGUUGCCCGCGGAGGUUCCCGGUUGCGUGCACAGCGCCUUGUUCCACCAAAGGCUCAUCCAGGAUCCUUACUACAGAUUUAAUAACCUUAACUACCGAUGGAUCGCCUUGGAUAACUGGACCUAUAUCAAGAAAUUUAAAAUCCCUUUUGACAUAAGCAAAUGGCUUAAAGUAAAGUUGGUUUUUGAAGGCAUCGAUACAGUUGCAGUAGUCCUGCUCAAUAAUAUUCCUGUUGGCGAAACAGACAACAUGUUCAGAAGCUAUAGCUUUGAUAUUACACAUGUGGUCCAAGCAGUAAACAUCCUUGAGGUGCAUUUCCAGUCACCAGUGAUAUAUGCGGACCAGAGGAGUAAAGUUCACACUCACUACAGCGUGCCCCCCAACUGCCCUCCGCGUGUGCAGGAUGGCGAAUGCCAUGUCAACUUUAUUCGCAAGGCACAGUGUUCCUUUAGUUGGGACUGGGGGCCUUCCUUUCCUACCCAGGGCAUCUGGAAAGAUGUUAGAAUUGAAGCCUAUAAUAUUUGUCAUCUGAACUACUUCACAUUUACCCCCAUAUAUGAUAAUAAUAUCCAGGAGUGGAAUCUUGAAAUAGAGUCUUCUUUUGAUGUUAUCAGUUCAAAGCCAGUUUUGGGUCAAGCGAUUAUAGCCAUCCCUGAAUUAAAAAUACAACAGACAAACAGCAUUGAACUUCAUCAUGGGGAAAGGAUUGUUAAACUCUUUGUGAAAAUUGACAAGAGUGUUACUAUAGAAACUUGGUGGCCUCAUGGACAUGGAAACCAGACUGGGUACAACAUGACAGUUCUUUUUAAGCUGGAUGGAGGCUUAAGUUUUGAAAAAUCAGCUAAGGUUUAUUUUAGGACAGUGGAACUCAUAGAAGAGCCCAUAAAAGGAUCUCGUGGUCUGAGUUUCUACUUCAAAAUUAAUGGACUUCCAAUAUUUCUGAAAGGCUCAAAUUGGAUUCCCCCAGAUUCAUUCCAGGAUCGAGUAACCUCUGCCUUAUUACGGCUCCUUUUGCAGUCUGUUGUGGAUGCUAACAUGAAUGCUGUCCGGGUUUGGGGAGGAGGAAUUUAUGAGCAGGAUGAAUUCUAUGAACUCUGUGAUGAACUAGGAAUAAUGGUAUGGCAGGAUUUUAUGUUUGCCUGUGCGCUUUACCCAACUGAUCAGGAUUUCAUGGAUUCAGUGAGAGCAGAAGUUGCUUACCAGGUCAGGAGACUGAAAUCUCAUCCCUCCGUCAUCACAUGGAGUGGAAAUAAUGAAAAUGAAGCAGCGCUGGUGUUGAAUUGGUAUGAUAUACAGUCCAGCAACCUGUCUACCUACAUCGAUGAUUAUGUGACACUGUAUGUGAAAAACAUCCGAAGGAUUGUCUUCGAAGGAGACCAGACUCGUCCUUUUAUCACAUCCAGUCCUACAAAUGGGGCUAAAUCCACUGCAGAAGGCUGGCUCUCUGAAAACCCAUACGACCCGAAUUAUGGUGACGUACAUUUUUAUGACUAUGUUGGUGAUUGCUGGAAUUGGAAAAUUUUCCCCAAAGCUCGAUUUGUAUCUGAAUAUGGAUAUCAGUCCUGGCCUUCCUUCAGUACAUUAGAAAAGGUUUCAUCUAAAGAGGACUGGUCUUAUGAAAGCAAAUUUGCACAUCAUAGACAACAUUUCACAGAUGGUAACUAUAAAAUGCUUCACCAGGCUGAGCUUCACUUCAAACUCCCCCAAAGUGCAGAUCAAUUACGCAAGUUCAAAGACACUAUUUAUAUUACUCAGAACCCUGGAUGGAAGUUGAACAGAAAACUGUCAGCCAAAAGACUCUUUUUUUGGAAGGUGAUGCAGGCCCAGUGUGUCAAAACAGAAACUGAAUUCUACCGCCGCAGUCGCAGCGAGAUAGUGCAUGGAGAAGGGCACACCAUGGGGGCACUUUAUUGGCAGUUGAAUGACAUCUGGCAGGCUCCUUCCUGGUCUUCUCUAGAGUAUGGAGGAAAGUGGAAAAUGCUUCAUUAUUUUGCUCGGCAUUUCUUCGCUCCGCUGUUGCCGGUGGGUUUUGAGAAUGAAGAUGUGUUUUUCAUCUAUGGUGUGUCAGACCUUCACUCGGACCACAAGAUGAUGCUCACUGUGAGAGUCCACGCAUGGAGUUCCCUGGAGCCCGUGUGCUCUGAGACGACGAAGCCUUUUGUGAUGAAAGCAGGGGAGUCUGCUCUUCUCUAUGAUAAGCCAGUAGCUGAAUUAUUAAGAGGAUGUACAAAUUGUACACGACAAAGCUGUGUGGUUUCCUUUUACCUGUCAACUGACAGGGAGCUCUUGAGCCCAACCAACUAUCACUUCCUGUCCUCACCAAAGGAGGCCAAGGGGCUCCACAAGGCAAAUAUCAGUGCCACCAUCUCUCAGCAAGGGGACACAUUUGUUUUUCAUCUGAAAACCUCAGCUGUUGCUCCCUUUGUUUGGUUGGAUGUAGGAAGCCUCCCAGGGAGAUUCAGUGACAAUGGUUUUCUCAUGACUGAGGAGACACGGACUGUAUUCUUCUACCCUUGGAAACCCACCAACGAGAGUGAAUUGGAGCGAUCUUUUCAUGUGACUUCACUGGCGGAUAUUUACUGAGGGAAUCCAGGCUGUAUUGGCAGGAGCUGAAGGCAACCAGAAACAAGUUGAAGAAGCCAGGAAACGCGUCUGCUUGCUGUCAGGUGUCUGCAUAACCACUUGGUGAAGAGCUUGUACUAGUGCAUUCUCCCAGGGAAGGCUGUGUACUCAGGUGAUGUCCUCCUCCAACAAAGCUGUGCCUAGGUGCCGUCCAGUCUGCACCAGGACUGUGGUUUUAGCCCAUUCCCCCACAGCUUUUGCACCACAUGAACCAGUUAUAACCCAACUGCCUCUCCAAGCCCCGAAAGGAGGUCUGUCCACGUGCAGCCCUUUAAGGGAAUCACAGCUGACUGGACCAUCACCCCCAGCAAGACCUUAGGAGCCAAGGGUUGGAGGGAGAGUCACUGUCAGCCUGGAUCCCUUCAUGACUAUGUGGAAGAGAGAUGCCCUACUCACCCCUGUCCCCUACUGCAAGUGUGGUUUAUUGAAACACAGUUUUUGAACAAGUAAUAUGGGAUAAUGAGUCACCACUCACUGUAGAGCCUGGCAGGUGACAGAUGCUCGAGAAAUCUAGACCGAAUACAUAUCUUCGUUCCUUGAGGGUUUUUGUGAUAUCUUAAUGAAAUAAUCAUUUUGGAGAGAGAUAUCAAUAUGGAAAAGCUAAUUGCUGCAGGACUUCAGGUAUGGCUAAAGAAUAACCUGUGGAAUCAGACACACCUGGAUUUGAAUCUGGGGAAGGGCCCUCCCACCCCAGCAAGGUGACACCAGUGCUGAAACUGAACGGCAAGAAGGAGCCCACCAGAUACCUGCGAGACAGAAAUGAAGAAGGAGGAUGUCUCCGCGUUCAAAGCUGUGCAGGGACAAGCAGGCAGGCUGUGAACAUGACAGCACGCCCCUUCCCCCGAGAUAGCCGGCGGCCUGGGAGGUUGCUCUCACGGCGGAGAGCAACUCAAAGAAAGGAGAGCAUCGCCAGGUAGUGGCUCCGCAAGGAGUCACGUCACUGGUUCCAUGUGCUGACAUGCAAUCAAGGCAUGUUCUUGGGGAGGGCAAGGCAUGAAGGUUGAUUACAGUCUUUCGUCUUUGUUCAGCAAGAUCAAAGUUCUGUGACCAUCCUGACACUCUAAGGAGCAUUUCUGCAGCAAGUCUCAAGGUGUCUGAGAACAGCCAAGGUGGGUUUCCUGCUGUCCUGGGUCAACCCUCCCAGGACACGGGUAAUGACUGAUUUUCUUCCUCAGAGUUAAGGGAGAAGGAAAGGGAUUAUCCUCCGGCCAAUGGUGUUAACAGAGCAAAGUCAAAUAAACGUAGUCAAAGAUGUAAGACGACGUGUUACCUCGUAGUUGUCCAUGAGAGUUCUGGAAGGAGCAGGACUCAGCCGGAAGGCAUUAUUUAGUAUCCCCAAACCUAAUUUCUGUGCCAGAGUAGCCCAGUUUUUGUCUGGAUCAGGAAUUUCUAGCAACUUGUAGAGCUGCAACUUCGCAUCUUCAGUCAGCUGUUUCAUGUCUCCUGAAGAGAAUAAAGAAGAAACACGACCGUCCUAACCGACCAGAGACGCUCCGGAGGGAUGGAUCACUGCCACACAGCUCACCCUCCCGCCCCGGGGAAGCAAUCACGCUCCUUCACUUGGAAGUCAGCAGCAGCCCACGCUGUCGUAAUUUACAGCCGGACCUUCUCCGUGGCACCCCUCCAGGGUCUCCUGAUUCUGAGAGAAGCCCCUGUGCCUUUCACAGCACACCCUGACCCCCCCUUCAGUGACAGGGUGGAGAUGACACUGGCUCAAAGAACCCGCUUCUCCCACAACUCACCUUGUGCCAGUAAAUCGUCAGAUGUAAACUCUGGCUCAUAGGGUUUCCCAUUUAAUAUGUCAAAUACCUGUUGGGAGGAAAAGCGCGGGGAGAUGUUGCACAUUACAGGGACCAUGACGGAAAUCUGCUUCUCUGUAAUAUAAAGGACUCGGCGUGUCCUCCUCAGGAGGGGCCAGGACCCCAAAGACGGAGGAAUGGGAAGAGGGGUCAGUACCAUCGCCCGGGAAUACGCGUGCCCUCUGGGGGGGGCUCUGGGCCUGGGAGGCUGUGCUCCGCGGGAGCCGCCUGAGGUGGGGAGGAAGACCCAACCCAGCCUCACACAGAGCCAAGGCCACGGCCCUGCUGAGGGGCAGAGGCAGUCUAGGCCACCCAGUCAGCCACGUGUCGGUCAGCGAUGUUCCCUGAGAGCUAGGGAGGGGGCUGAGCUCACGCUGAGCUGUGAAGCUGGGCUCUGCGGCUGCCCCUCCUCCCUAGUGAAAAGGCUUCUGAGAGCGAGUUUUACGAACGUGCCCAAACUGAGGUGUACAAGCGCUCACAGGGCUUGGGGUCAGCCUCCUGGCACCAGCCACAUUUUAACUGCGGGGCCAGAAAAGUCUUAGGUUAAAAGGGAGGAAAAAAACAAAACUGCAUAGUUCUGGGGGCUGCUCUGCGCUCUCUGCAGUCGCUCGGUGGCUGGCUGACCUGGGCGAGGACCACAUGGGGUCGCUGAAGUGGGUUAUCUUUGUGUCCUGUGGUGAGGCUUCUGGGAAAACCAGGCGUCCAACGUAAAGAGAGCCGUGUGGUCUCUCCGCCAGGGUCCCUCAGCUCAACCCACGCGGCCCGCGAGGGGCAAGCGAGCAGUUUUGGACAGGGAGCGGCACCUGGCCCUGCAAAGGGUUAAUAUUCAGCUGGGCCGCCCACCUCCUCCCUCUGGCUCCCCUCCCGGCGCCCAAAAGACCCAGUAACUGCUUUCGCCUUCAGAUCUCAGGUCAGCAGAGUUCCGAGGAAAGCUUUAAGGCUGUUUACUUUGUUUACAUUUGUGCAGAUCCUCAGAAGAAUCCCCAUUUCUUUUUAUGUUCAGAAAUCACUUACCGAAGUUCAAGCCAACCGUAACAUUUAUCCUGGCUUCAGAAACUGAGAUGGGAACGACUGUGGUGUGAGUUCAGAGUGGGUAACCUGUAGCGUGAAUUUUGUGUUUCUCUCAUCUAACUCUGAUCUGAUUGGGCAUAUACUUUUACACUCAGAACUCUGCUGACCUAGAUCUUUCACAGAUAGGCUUUUCAAGAUAAAUACAGCUCUUGACAAACAGACUUUCUUAAAAAAUAACAGGCAUGUGCUUUGGGGAGUAAAGACCGAGGAAGGCCACCUGCUCUGACGUCCCUGGACCUGCAGCUCCCUCAGGAGCAGCCAGCACACGGGCGGAGCCGCACUCACCUGCC